rnacentral:rRNA from 1 species
GACGAACGCUGGCGGCGUGCUUAACACAUGCAAGUCGAACGGAAAGGCCCUGCUUUUGUGGGGUGCUCGAGUGGCGAACGGGUGAGUAACACGUGAGUAACCUGCCCUUGACUUUGGGAUAACUUCAGGAAACUGGGGCUAAUACCGGAUAGGAGCUCCUGCUGCAUGGUGGGGGUUGGAAAGUUUCGGCGGUUGGGGACGGACUCGCGGCUUAUCAGCUUGUUGGUGGGGUAGUGGCUUACCAAGGCUUUGACGGGUAGCCGGCCUGAGAGGGUGACUGGCCACAUUGGGACUGAGAUACGGCCCAGACUCCUACGGGAGGCAGCAGUGGGGAAUAUUGCACAAUGGGCGGAAGCCUGAUGCAGCAACGCCGCGUGCGGGAUGACGGCCUUCGGGUUGUAAACCGCUUUCGCCUGUGACGAAGCGUGAGUGACGGUAAUGGGUAAAGAAGCACCGGCUAACUACGUG